AUUGGCAUGUGAUGAUCAAUUCUUAUGCUACACACUGAAGUAUCUGUGUUGACUACAACUCCGCUUAUUAUCUGAUGCCAUU